GUGCUGGGUUGUUCUAACGUUAGGAACGUUGGCAUCUGCUAAAUUUUGAAAUGUAAUGCAUUGUAAAUACAUUGGCUAAUGUAUAGAUGCAUGAUGUUUAGUUGUAGCUGUGGAUUAGUAAAAAAAUAAAAUAAAUAAAAAAAACUGGCUUACUUCCAAACGCUCAAAGAGCAGUAUGACAGGCAGAGUACUAAAACAUACGGAGUAAUUAACGGAACUGAAACCCAAACGCACGGAGGACUCCUCGCUGCCUGUGCGCUUACUCUUUUCACGGCACCCCGAGGUUAAUGACUGGCGCUGCCGGGGCUGAAUGCUCCCCGCUGGCGGGGUGCCACUCGGUGGGUCACUCUGCAGAAGAGCGUCCGCUAAACGCCAUAGUAACUGCAGAGGGCCCGGCGCAGAGAGCGCUACGGUGUGGACUGCACACUACGAGCGCCAGGGCAGAGCGGGAGGACGCGCGCUCUUCAUCUGCAGUACCGCUGUCCUGCCUGCAGAGGGCAGAUCUGCGACGCAGCGGCCAACCCCCGACAAAAACCUCCAGGAAAUGGGAGGGGGGGAAAAAAUGUUUCUCUGAAAAAUAAAAACGGG